AUUGAACGCUGGCGGCAGGCUUCACACAUGCAAGUCGAGCGAGCGGCGGACGGUUGAGUAAUGUCUGGGAAACUGCCUGAUGGAGGGGGAUAACUACUGGAAACGGUAGCUAAUACCGCAUACCAUCAGAUGUGCCCAGAUGGGAUUAGCUGGUAGGUGGGGGAAUGGCUCACCAAGGAGACGAUCCCCAGUUGGUCUGAGAGGAUGACCAGCAACACUGUAACUGAGACACGGUCCAGACUCCGACGGGAGGCAGCAGUGGGGAAUAGUGCACAAUGGGCGCAAGCCUGAUGCAGCCAUGCCGCGUGUGUGAAGAAGGCCUUCGGGUUGUAAAGCACUUUCAGCGAGGAGGCGUUACUCGCAGAAGAAGCACCGGCUAACUCCGUGCCAGCAGCCGCGGUAAUAC
rnacentral:rRNA from 1 species